CUGUAGCCACUUAAGCUGACCAGGUCCUUUCCUCACAGGGCCUUGCACACAGUGCCUGCAAACAGCAGCCUCUUGGUAGUGUAUGCAGCCUGAUGCUGGUGUAGGUUGCAUAAGGGACCCUCUAGACAGAG
ensembl:snoRNA SNORA70 Small nucleolar RNA SNORA70